CCUGGGCCGGGCCGGGGCUUUGGAGGCUGCCUGGGAGGAAUGAGGCCGGCCUCCAGAGUGGGCCAAGUGCCUGGGAAAAAUGCAGUGCGGGAGCCAGGAGGAAGGCCACCUGAGAGAGGACGUGGUCACCGAGAAACGUGGGGGCAGACGGCAUGGGAGUUCAGGAACGCCAUCAGCAUCAGGGAGAGACGGAAAAAGCCAAGACUGGUUCUCAACUUUUUGGAUUCCCAACACAUUUUCAAACACUGGAAAUUCUGACGAGGGGACCUUUCUUAAAGCUGUAUGUGCGCACGACUGAGGACAAUAUCCAGUUUCCGAAGGGAAACGCAGGGAGGAGCGGAUGACAGCUACAAUCGGCACCUCUGGCUAUUCACAGGGCAGGGAUUCCAGAGGCCUGUCCAGGGCACCAGGGCCGCCCCAGCCCCUUCCUCCACGAGGGACGUGUUCUGAGACCCCCAGUGGAUGCCUGAAACCAGAGACAGCUCUGAGCCUACGCACUCGUACACCAUAUUCUCCUUGCAUACACAUGUCUGUCAGAGUCUAAUUUAUAAGUUAGGCUCAUAUGAGAUUAACAACAAUAACUAAUAAAAUUUAAAAAGUAUAACAA